rnacentral:lncRNA from 1 species
UUGAAUAUCAAGUUUGUAGAAAGUGUUGAAUUGCAGGUUUUUAUUAUUACAUCGAAGAAGAAGAGAACAAUAUAGUUGUUAAUUACAAUUCAUAUAUCACAUCACUGUUUCUAUUGUUGUUGGCAAUUGAUGAAGCUGAAGAUGAAUGGAGCCAAGAGCAAUUUUGGUUGCAUAAUUUGAAAGAAAUUGCAGGUUGUGAUUCACGAAGAUAAAAAUUGCAGGUUUUGCUAUUUACAGCAACUCCAACGAUCAGAUGCACUCUGUGAUUUAUAUAAUAGGAUUUGUUCCCCUUGCACUGAAUCAAAUCAGAUGCUCUAUCAGUUCCAGGUAAAUACGGUAAUUUUUUCUUGGUUUGAUCGGAUAUUUGUUAAAUUUUAUUUGUUUCAUUUUUAAUCUAAUUUCAUUUAAUUAAGAACGGGUCAAUUCGUGUUGUGUUUAAUCUCUCAAAUAGGAUUAAAUCAAAAUUUUCA